ensembl:snRNA U6 U6 spliceosomal RNA
UCUCUCUCUCAAAAAUAAAAAUAAAAUAGAAACAUACAGAGAAAAUUAGCAUGGCUCUGUGCAAGGAUGACACACAAAUUUGUGAAGCAUUCCAUAUAUUU